GAUGAAGAACGCAGCGAAAUGCGAUACGUAAUGUGAAUUGCAAAUUCAGUGAAUCAUCGAGUCUUUGAACGCACAUUGCGCCCCCUGGUAUUCCGGGGGGCAUGCCUGUCCGAGCGUCAUUGCUGCCCUCAAGCACGGCUUGUGUGUUGGGCCCCGUCCUCCGAUCCCGGGGGACGGGCCCGAAAGGCAGCGGCGGCACCGCGUCCGGUCCUCGAGCGUAUGGGGCUUUGUCACCCGCUCUGUAGGCCCGGCCGGCGCUUGCCGAUCAACCCAAAUUUUUAUCCAGGUUGACCUCGGAUCAGGUAGGGAUACCCGCUGAACUUAAGCAUAUCAAUAAGCGGGGA
rnacentral:misc_RNA from 1 species